rnacentral:rRNA from 1 species
AGCGAACGCUGGCGGCAGGCUUAACACAUGCAAGUCGAGCGGGCCCUUCGGGGUCAGCGGCAGACGGGUGAGUAACACGUGGGAACGUACCCUUCGGUUCGGAAUAACUCAGGGAAACUUGAGCUAAUACCGGAUACGCCCUUUGGGGGAAAGGUUUACUGCCGAAGGAUCGGCCCGCGUCUGAUUAGCUAGUUGGUGGGGUAAUGGCCCACCAAGGCGACGAUCAGUAGCUGGUCUGAGAGGAUGAUCAGCCACACUGGGACUGAGACACGGCCCAGACUCCUACGGGAGGCAGCAGUGGGGAAUAUUGGACAAUGGGCGCAAGCCUGAUCCAGCCAUGCCGCGUGAGUGAUGAAGGCCCUAGGGUUGUAAAGCUCUUUCGGCGGGACGAUAAUGACGGUACCCGCAGAAGAAGCCCCGGCUAACUUCGUGCCAGCCGCCGCUGUAAC